GGGCCUGACUGGAUUUGACUGCAGGCCAAAGUGGUACGUAAGCAUGCAGUGCGGACGGAAGCGGGCACUCAAAACUCGGCUUUCAAAAAUUUAAUUGGCGAAAAUAAUUACGCUCUCGCUGCCUGAUUGAAGCAUAGUAGGUCAGCUUAAUUCCGGCUAAAGGUUGCUGGAACGAGACAUCGCCCAAGAGCAGUUUUUCCGAAGCGUCUUGAUACGGCGGUGCAGUCAACUCGGAAAUAGCCGCAGGCGGCCUCGCGUCGACGGUGAAGUUUUUCAGAGGCUAAGGUGCCGGCCGGUAGUUUGGGUCUUGCCGGCGCUCGAAAAUCCAAGCCAAAAUAAGCAUGUAGAAAGCGUAGUGCUUUCCUGUUAGGACGAGGGUUCAAUCCCCUCCAGGUCCACU
rnacentral:tmRNA from 1 species